rnacentral:rRNA from 1 species
CCCUUAGAUGUUCUGGGCUGCACGCGCGCUACACUGAUGCGUUCAACGAGUUUAUCACCUUGCCCGAUAGGGUUGGGUAAUCUUUUGAAAACGCAUCGUGAUGGGGAUAGAUUAUUGUAAUUAUUAAUCUUCAACGAGGAAUUCCUAGUAAGUGCGAAUCAUCAGUUCGCGCUGAUUACGUCCCUGCCCUUUGUACACACCGCCCGUCGCUCCUACUGAUUGGGUGAUCCGGUGAGCUGUUCGGCCAUAGCAAUGUUUCUUGAGCAGGGCAAUGAAUGUUUCGCAAACCUCGCCACUUAGAGGAAGGAGAAGUCGUAACA